rnacentral:rRNA from 1 species
UAGAGAAGCGAAAGCGGACGACCCUUCGGGGAGGCUUGUACAGGUGCUGCAUGGCUGUCGUCAGCUCGUGUCGUGAGAUGUUCGGUUAAGUCCGCUAACGAGCGCAACCCUCGCUGUGUGUUACAAGUGUCACACGGAACUGCCGGUCAUAAACCGGAGGAAGGUGGGGAUGACGUCAAGUCAGCAUGGCCUUUAUAUCCUGGGCUACACACACGCUACAGUGGGAAGGGACAAUAGGUUGCGAAGCCGCGAGGCGGAGCCAAUCCAGCAAAACUUCCCUCAGUUCAGAUUGCAGGCUGCAACUCGCCUGCAUGAAGUUGGAGUUGCUAGUAAACGCAGGUCAGCCAUACUGCGUUGAAUACGUUCCCGGGGCUU